UCUCUAGCCUGGGUUGCUCUCCAUCUUGAGU
rnacentral:piRNA from 1 species